CGAAUGCUGACAUAAGUAACGAUAAAGCGGGUGAAAAGCCCGCUCGCCGGAAGACCAAGGGUUCCUGUCCAACGUUAAUCGGGGCAGGGUGAGUCGACCCCUAAGGCGAGGCCGAAAGGCGUAGUCGAUGGGAAACAGGUUAAUAUUCCUGUACUUGGUGUUACUGCGAAGGGGGGACGGAGAAGGCUAUGUUGGCCGGGCGACGGUUGUCCCGGUUUAAGCGUGUAGGCUGGUUUUCCAGGCAAAUCCGGAAAAUCAAGGCUGAGGCGUGAUGACGAGGCACUACGGUGCUGAAGCAACAAAUGCCCUGCUUCCAGGAAAAGCCUCUAAGCAUCAGGUAACAUCAAAUCGUACCCCAAACCGACACAGGUGGUCAGGUAGAGAAUACCAAGGCGCUUGAGAGAACUCGGGUGAAGGAACUAGGCAAAAUGGUGCCGUAACUUCGGGAGAAGGCACGCUGAUAUGUAGGUGAGGUCCCUCGCGGAUGGAGCUGAAAUCAGUCGAAGAUACCAGCUGGCUGCAACUGUUUAUUAAAAACACAGCACUGUGCAAACACGAAAGUGGACGUAUACGGUGUGACGCCUGCCCGGUGCCGGAAGGUUAAUUGAUGGGGUUAGCGGUAACGCGAAGCUCUUGAUCGAAGCCCCGGUAAACGGCGGCCGUAACUAUAACGGUCCUAAGGUAGCGAAAUUCCUUGUCGGGUAAGUUCCGACCUGCACGAAUGGCGUAAUGAUGGCCAGGCUGUCUCCACCCGAGACUCAGUGAAAUUGAACUCGCUGUGAAGAUGCAGUGUACCCGCGGCAAGACGGAAAGACCCCGUGAACCUUUACUAUAGCUUGACACUGAACAUUGAGCCUUGAUGUGUAGGAUAGGUGGGAGGCUUUGAAGUGUGGACGCCAGUCUGCAUGGAGCCGACCUUGAAAUACCACCCUUUAAUGUUUGAUGUUCUAACGUUGACCCGUAAUCCGGGUUGCGGACAGUGUCUGGUGGGUAGUUUGACUGGGGCGGUCUCCUCCUAAAGAGUAACGGAGGAGCACGAAGGUUGGCUAAUCCUGGUCGGACAUCAGGAGGUUAGUGCAAUGGCAUAAGCCAGCUUGACUGCGAGCGUGACGGCGCGAGCAGGUGCGAAAGCAGGUCAUAGUGAUCCGGUGGUUCUGAAUGGAAGGGCCAUCGCUCAACGGAUAAAAGGUACUCCGGGGAUAACAGGCUGAUACCGCCCAAGAGUUCAUAUCGACGGCGGUGUUUGGCACCUCGAUGUCGGCUCAUCACAUCCUGGGGCUGAAGUAGGUCCCAAGGGUAUGGCUGUUCGCCAUUUAAAGUGGUACGCGAGCUGGGUUUAGAACGUCGUGAGACAGUUCGGUCCCUAUCUGCCGUGGGCGCUGGAGAACUGAGGGGGGCUGCUCCUAGUACGAGAGGACCGGAGUGGACGCAUCACUGGUGUUCGGGUUGUCAUGCCAAUGGCACUGCCCGGUAGCUAAAUGCGGAAGAGAUAAGUGCUGAAAGCAUCUAAGCACGAAACUUGCCCCGAGAUGAGUUCUCCCUGACUCCUUGAGAGUCCUGAAGGAACGUUGAAGACGACGACGUUGAUAGGCCGGGUGUGUAAGCGCAGCGAUGCGUUGAGCUAACCGGUACUAAUGAACCGUGAGGCUUAACCUUACAACGCCGAAG
rnacentral:rRNA from 1 species